rnacentral:rRNA from 1 species
CAAAGUGGUUAUUGUCUCAGUAACGGCGAGUGAGCGGCAAAGCUCAAAUUUGAAAUCUAGCACCUUCGGUGUUCGAGCUUUAAUUUGAAGAUGGUAACCUUGGGUUUGGCUCUUGUCUAUCUUCCUUGGAACAGGACGUCAUAGAGGGUGAGAAUCCCGUCUGAUGAGAUGCCCAUUCCUAUGUAAGGUGCUAUCGAAGAGUCGAGUUGUUUGGGAAUGCAGCUCUAAGUGGGUGGUAAAUUCCAUCUAAAGCUAAAUAUUGGCGAGAGACCGAUAGCGAACAAGUACAGUGAUGGAAAGAUGAAAAGAACUUUGAAAAGAGAGUGAAAAAGUACGUGAAAUUGUUGAAAGGGAAGGGCAUUAGAUCAGACUUGGUGUUUUACGAUUAUCUUCUCUUCUUGAGUUGUGCACUCGUAUUUCACUGGGCCAGCAUCGAUUCGGAUGGCAAGAUAAUGGCAGUUGAAUGUGGCUUCACUUCGGUGGAGUGUUAUAGCUUCUGCUGAUAUUGCCUGUCUGGAUCGAGGGCUGCGUCUUUUGACUAGGAUGCUGGCGUAAUGAUCUAAUGCCGCCCGUCUUGAAACACGGACCAA